rnacentral:rRNA from 1 species
GGGUUGUGAGGUUAAGCGACUAAGCGUACACGGUGGAUGCCCUGGCAGUCAGAGGCGAUGAAGGACGUGCUAAUCUGCGAUAAGCGUCGGUAAGGUGAUAUGAACCGUUAUAACCGGCGAUUUCCGAAUGGGGAAACCCAGUGUGAUUCGUCACACUAUCAUUAACUGAAUCCAUAGGUUAAUGAGGCGAACCGGGGGAACUGAAACAUCUAAGUACCCCGAGGAAAAGAAAUCAACCGAGAUUCCCCCAGUAGCGGCGAGCGAACGGGGAGCAGCCCAGAGCCUGAAUCAGUGUGUGUGUUAGUGGAAGCGUCUGGAAAGGCGCGCGAUACAGGGUGACAGCCCCGUACACAAAAAUGCACAUACUGUGAGCUCGAUGAGUAGGGCGGGACACGUGGUAUCCUGUCUGAAUAUGGGGGACCAUCCUCCAAGGCUAAAUACUCCUGACUGACCGAUAGUGAACCAGUACCGUGAGGGAAAGGCGAAAAGAACCCCGGCGAGGGGAGUGAAAAAGAACCUGAAACCGUGUACGUACAAGCAGUGGGAGCACAGAGCAAUCUGUGUGACUGCGUACCUUUUGUAUAAUGGGUCAGCGACUUAUAUUCUGUAGCAAGGUUAACCGAAUAGGGGAGCCGAAGGGAAACCGAGUCUUAACUGGGCGUUAAGUUGCAGGGUAUAGACCCGAAACCCGGUGAUCUAGCCAUGGGCAGGUUGAAGGUUGGGUAACACUAACUGGAGGACCGAACCGACUAAUGUUGAAAAAUUAGCGGAUGACUUGUGGCUGGGGGUGAAAGGCCAAUCAAACCGGGAGAUAGCUGGUUCUCCCCGAAAGCUAUUUAGGUAGCGCCUCGUGAAUUCAUCUCCGGGGGUAGAGCACUGUUUCGGCAAGGGGGUCAUCCCGACUUACCAACCCGAUGCAAACUGCGAAUACCGGAGAAUGUUAUCACGGGAGACACACGGCGGGUGCUAACGUCCGUCGUGAAGAGGGAAACAACCCAGACCGCCAGCUAAGGUCCCAAAGUCAUGGUUAAGUGGGAAACGAUGUGGGAAGGCCCAGACAGCCAGGAUGUUGGCUUAGAAGCAGCCAUCAUUUAAAGAAAGCGUAAUAGCUCACUGGUCGAGUCGGCCUGCGCGGAAGAUGUAACGGGGCUAAACCAUGCACCGAAGCUGCGGCAGCGACGCUUAUGCGUUGUUGGGUAGGGGAGCGUUCUGUAAGCCUGCGAAGGUGUGCUGUGAGGCAUGCUGGAGGUAUCAGAAGUGCGAAUGCUGACAUAAGUAACGAUAAAGCGGGUGAAAAGCCCGCUCGCCGGAAGACCAAGGGUUCCUGUCCAACGUUAAUCGGGGCAGGGUGAGUCGACCCCUAAGGCGAGGCCGAAAGGCGUAGUCGAUGGGAAACAGGUUAAUAUUCCUGUACUUGGUGUUACUGCGAAGGGGGACGGAGAAGGCUAUGUUGGCCGGGCGACGGUUGUCCCGGUUUAAGCGUGUAGGCUGGUUUUCCAGGCAAAUCCGGAAAAUCAAGGCUGAGGCGUGAUGACGAGGCACUACGGUGCUGAAGCAACAAAUGCCCUGCUUCCAGGAAAAGCCUCUAAGCAUCAGGUAACAUCAAAUCGUACCCCAAACCGACACAGGUGGUCAGGUAGAGAAUACCAAGGCGCUUGAGAGAACUCGGGUGAAGGAACUAGGCAAAAUGGUGCCGUAACUUCGGGAGAAGGCACGCUGAUAUGUAGGUGAAGUCCCUCGCGGAUGGAGCUGAAAUCAGUCGAAGAUACCAGCUGGCUGCAACUGUUUAUUAAAAACACAGCACUGUGCAAACACGAAAGUGGACGUAUACGGUGUGACGCCUGCCCGGUGCCGGAAGGUUAAUUGAUGGGGUCAGCGCAAGCGAAGCUCUUGAUCGAAGCCCCGGUAAACGGCGGCCGUAACUAUAACGGUCCUAAGGUAGCGAAAUUCCUUGUCGGGUAAGUUCCGACCUGCACGAAUGGCGUAAUGAUGGCCAGGCUGUCUCCACCCGAGACUCAGUGAAAUUGAACUCGCUGUGAAGAUGCAGUGUACCCGCGGCAAGACGGAAAGACCCCGUGAACCUUUACUAUAGCUUGACACUGAACAUUGAGCCUUGAUGUGUAGGAUAGGUGGGAGGCUUUGAAGUGUGGACGCCAGUCUGCAUGGAGCCGACCUUGAAAUACCACCCUUUAAUGUUUGAUGUUCUAACGUUGACCCGUGAUCCGGGUUGCGGACAGUGUCUGGUGGGUAGUUUGACUGGGGCGGUCUCCUCCUAAAGAGUAACGGAGGAGCACGAAGGUUGGCUAAUCCUGGUCGGACAUCAGGAGGUUAGUGCAAUGGCAUAAGCCAGCUUGACUGCGAGCGUGACGGCGCGAGCAGGUGCGAAAGCAGGUCAUAGUGAUCCGGUGGUUCUGAAUGGAAGGGCCAUCGCUCAACGGAUAAAAGGUACUCCGGGGAUAACAGGCUGAUACCGCCCAAGAGUUCAUAUCGACGGCGGUGUUUGGCACCUCGAUGUCGGCUCAUCACAUCCUGGGGCUGAAGUAGGUCCCAAGGGUAUGGCUGUUCGCCAUUUAAAGUGGUACGCGAGCUGGGUUUAGAACGUCGUGAGACAGUUCGGUCCCUAUCUGCCGUGGGCGCUGGAGAACUGAGGGGGCUGCUCCUAGUACGAGAGGACCGGAGUGGACGCAUCACUGGUGUUCGGGUUGUCAUGCCAAUGGCACUGCCCGGUAGCUAAAUGCGGAAGAGAUAAGUGCUGAAAGCAUCUAAGCACGAAACUUGCCCCGAGAUGAGUUCUCCCUGACUCCUUGAGAGUCCUGAAGGAACGUUGAAGACGACGACGUUGAUAGGCCGGGUGUGUAAGCGCAGCGAUGCGUUGAGCUAACCGGUACUAAUGAACCGUGAGGCUUAACCUUACAACGCCGAAGGUGUUU